ACUCCUACGGGAGGCAGCAGUGGGGAAUAUUGCACAAUGGGCGCAAGCCUGAUGCAGCCAUGCCGCGUGUAUGAAGAAGGCCUUCGGGUUGUAAAGUACUUUCAGCAGUGAGGAAGGUGGAUAUGUUAAUAGCAUAUUCUAUUUGUACGUUAGCUGCAGAAGAAGCACCGGCUAACUCCGUGCCAGCAGCCGCGGUAAUACGGAGGGUGCGAGCGUUAAUCGGAAUUACUGGGCGUAAAGCGCAUGCAGGUGGUUUGUUAAGUCAGAUGUGAAAGCCCGGGGCUCAACCUCGGAAUUGCAUUUGAAACUGGCAAACUAGAGUACUGUAGAGGGGGUAGGAAUUUCAGGUGUAGCGGUGAAAUGCGUAGAGAUCUGAAGGAAUACCGGUGGCGAAGGCGGCCCCGUGGACAGAUACUGACACUCAGAUGCGAAAGCGUGGGAGCAAACAGGAUUAGAU
rnacentral:rRNA from 1 species